rfam:Glycine soja cultivar W05 scaffold6637_7, whole genome shotgun sequence.
AUGUUAAGGAGUUGAUCUUAACAUCGGUUUUUUAAAAAACCGAUGUUAAGAUCAACUCCUUAACAU